rnacentral:rRNA from 1 species
UGGGGAAUAUUGCACAAUGGGGGAAACCCUGAUGCAGCAACGCCGCGUGAGUGAUGAAGGUUUUCGGAUCGUAAAGCUCUGUCUUUGGGGAAGAUAAUGACGGUACCCAAGGAGGAAGCCACGGCUAACUACGUGCCAGCAGCCGCGGUAAUACGUAGGUGGCGAGCGUUAUCCGGAUUUACUGGGCGUAAAGGGAGCGUAGGCGGAUGAUUAAGUGGGAUGUGAAAUACCCGGGCUCAACUUGGGUGCUGCAUUCCAAACUGGUUAUCUAGAGUUCAGGAGAGGAGAGUGGAAUUCCUAGUGUAGCGGUGAAAUGCGUAGAGAUUAGGAAGAACACCAGUGGCGAAGGCGACUCUCUGGACUGUAACUGACGCUGAGGCUCGAAAGCGUGGGGAGCAAACA